AGACGAGCUGCCUCAAGCGCCUGCUGCCAUUACUUCUGAGUCGUGAUGACUGCACCCCCAAACUGAGAGCCAAAAGAAACCCUUCAGUUGCGAUCGUCAGGGUAUUUUAUCCUGGUUACGGGAGAAGAAACCAAGAUGGUGACAUCCAUACCGUUUAUAGUAAACACUUCAGGAGAAGUCAGGAGACUUUCUGGAAGGAGGGGACUCACAUUGUAUAAUGCCUCAGGAAGAGCUGGGGAAAGAUGUGCUUGUAGACCUUGGGAAAAAGAAGGAAACCAGAAAUAUGGCCCAUGAAGAACAAGACAGGAACUGAGAAUGGGCACUGCUGGUUCAUACACAGAAACCGGAGGAAACAGGCAAAGGUGGACCACUGGUAUUGCCUCAGUUUCCCAAAUGUAACCCCUGAGCCCCUGGUGAUCUGCUUUUGUGACCUGUGGAGCUUUCUGCCUAUUGUUCUACGGCCUUGUAGCUGAUACUGUGCGCUGAUUAUUUAUUUUUAAUUUCUGUUACCUCUGUUUGUCUGUCUGUCUAGUGUGUUUGUACCUGUGUGGGCACACCACACCACUAUGCCCCUGUGGGGGCAGAGCCCAGCUUGCAAGAGUGAGUGCUCCCCUUCCACCACGUGCGUCCUGGGGUAGAUCGUCACCUUGGUACCUGCACCGGCCCCACUGUGUGGUUAAAAAAAAAAAAACACAAUUUGAAAAUAAGGUAAAGUUGCUCAUUUUCCUAGUAAGUUGUGGGAUAAUCAGUCUUGAGUUCUCAGCUGGGGUUUUGUUCCCCCCAAGAGGAUUUCCUGGUCUUUCUGCAGAUCAUCUCAAGGCAGUGGUGCCAUGUCAACUCAGACAGCAGAGUCCCUGGAGGGCUGCCUUGUGGUUGAGUUCUCAGGGAAGAUUCCUUCACACCCACAGUGAAAUCCAAAUGUGAUUCCCAUUGGAAUCAUGUGAAUUAAAAAGACUCCUUUAAAGUUGACAGAACACAGUCCAGCGAGACGCCCUGAUUUCUCACUGAAUUUGGAGCUACGUUGGCAGCCAGCAACCCCGAGUGAUCUUCCUAUCUCUGCCCACCCUGGCCAACGACACUGGAGUUACAGGCAUGUGAAUAUGCCUGGAUUUUUACAUGGGUUCUGGAGACUUGAACUUGACCCCUCCUGCUUGCACAGCAGGCACCCUUUCUUACCCACAGAACCAUCCCCCCACCCCACAUUUGCUUGGUUCUCAUUGAAAUUCAUCAGCUUGCUUCACAUGGGAAUGACAUGUUUGUAAAUGACCGGCGUUCUGAAGAAACAGACAUCUCUUGAUUUUGGCAGUGAUGUUUUGAAUACUUGACACAUUACAUAUCAUAGUUUUAUCUAUCUUUAGUAUCAGACAUUCUUACUGCACCCAAAAGUUUUCAUUCAAAUGCAGCAAAGGAAGUCUCCAUGAAAACGAAAAGGACAUUUUUCAGAAACUGGUAAGCUGGAGUCUCCGACCUGCGCAAAGACGCCUGACCUGUGCUCCAGGGAAUGCAUCACCCAGGAGGCACAUGGAGAUGCCCCGUCUCACCCUGAUGCCCAGCUCUUGUACAACUUUGCAGAGCCUUUGCAAUGCCUACUUUCUUUGAAGCAUUGUGGAUUUCUUAAGAUAUUGCAAUCUACAUUAAAAUGUUCUUCUUGUGAGAAUUACAUGUCGAAUUAGCACAUUUUGGGCAAAGCUUGCCAAAUCAGGAAGGAAAUUGCCAUGCUAUCCCAACGGAUAGCUCUUCUGGGGAGACGCGGUUCUGGCUCAUCUGGGGCACCUCCUUCUCCGGGCCCGUUUGUAGACAAUUGGGUUUCCCUGGCAUGUUGUCCUGCACACCCAGAAUCUCAAGUACAGCCAGCAGAGACACCUUCAUUCUCCCCAAAAAAGGGAACACUUUCUGGUCAGUCUUCAUCCUUGGAUGAAUGGGCAUAUCUGUAGUUUUGAUGACUUGGGAUUCCUAGUCGCUUUCUCCUGCUUUCUUACCGUGUUUGGUGGCUUGUAUAGUUCAUGUGACUGCUCUCUCUUCAAAAGCUACAGAUGAGUCAGAGAACAAAGCCUGAGGGAGAGCUUUUAUGAUGUGUGACCUCAUUCAAGGUGCCGUCUAGAAGCUUCUUUCUCUACUUCUCCUCCCCCAAACUUCCAGGUGGCCUGUCCCCUUGACAAAUUGCUGCCAGAAAGAGAUCACUUCCUCGAUAAGACCCCUGGAACCUCUAGCUUGAACCUGAUGACCCUCUAGACAUUUCUUUAGGAUCUGCAGUAGACAUUUGAUGUCUUGUGAUGCUGGGGAUGGGAGUCAGAGUGACAUGCAUGUUAGGCAAGUAAGUCUUCCACCACAGAGCUGUACUUCAAGUUCCUGAUGAAUUAGUUUUUGUCUAGAAUGCCUUCUAAAUUCUUUGGGAAUGUCACCCAGCUUCUUUGUGACUUUCCUUGGGGGUGGGAGGGAUCCUUCCCUCUUGGAAGCUGUUUUAUUGAGAAACUGUGAGGCUAAAAUUGUUGUCUGGACACAGUGACGUGGGCAGGCAAACCAAGCUCUGUCCUUCAGAUCUGCCCCAGGAGAACUUGACUCUUGAGAGGAGUGGUGGAGGACUGGAGAGCACCGGAACCUUUCAUUCUGUAGUAGGCCCUUCCUGGCUGUCCCGGUCUACAGCAUGGCCUUUGCCUCUGCCUUUCUCAAGGGGAGGCACACUGACGUAAACUGUCUUCUUCCAAUAUACUAGCUUUAUACUGAAUUGAACCAGACUCCGUUACUGUUGCUAUAACAAAAGAACCCCAAAUAAGCCACCCACCUCCAAUUCUCUUGUCUCAGUCCUUUUCUAGGCUUUAUCUCCACUAAGACUCUUUAACAACAUUGACAACCAACAAAAUACCGUGAACCGGAAAGCUUGUAAACAGUGACAGGCAUUUCUCAUAUUUCUAGAGGCUUCUAGAGGAAGACCAAGAUUCAACACCAGUGGGUUUGGGUUUGGUGUCUGGUGAGGCUCCUGUCUCAUAGUGGCACCUUCUAGCUGUAGCCUCACAUAAUGGAAGGAACGAGCCGCCUCUCUGAGGUUCUUUAUGAGGGCACCAAUCACAUUCACAAGGGAUCCUCUCAACACCCUGAGGACUCGUUUUCAGCAUACGAAUUUUGACUAAAACUCAAAAUCCAACCACAGCCUGCAAGGCCCACACUGGUCUGGUCACCAGCAGCCGCUCCAUCCCACCUUCCCACCACCCUUCUCCAUGUCUCCCGACUUCGCGCCCUCUUUGCCUUCCUUGAGCGUCGCACGCUUACUGCUGGGUUUUUGCACAUGCUCCCUUGUGCCUGCAGGGUUCCUUGAGUGGGCCUCAAGCAUCGUUCCCAGCUUCUGGCCAGGUUCCGUGGGUCAGAAGCUUUCCUGUUCCCACCUGAUACGUCUCUGUCAUAACACUUUGUAAUUAGAGUCAGCCUCCUGUGUGCGUUGUUUUCACACACAUGGAUCCAACCAACGAUGGAUCAAAACCCUUUGAACAACAAUCCGUGUCGGUACUGAGCACAGACAGACUUCCUUUCUGUGCCAUUAUCCCCCCUGCCCUCAAUCUACACAGCAGUCAUGGUGUAUUAGGUAACACAGCCAAUUUAAAGAUGAUUCGAAGUGUCUGGAGGAUGUGUAUAGUUACCGCGCCAUAUUACAGGUGAGACAAGUAUCUGCAGACUUGAUGUCUACAGGGAUCCUGGAGCUGGUGCCCCAUGGACACUGAAGGACGACUGUGUAUAUCUGUGUGGAUUAUCUGAUCCUUGCUUGUCUGCCUUGCUGGCUGAUAAGCUUCUCAGAAGUGGGAUCCAUGUGUUUCCUCUGUGACUGUAUUCUGACAUAGCACUUGAUGUGUACAAAACA